AAUAAAGCCAAAAGAACAAUUUUGGGCCCGUUACGUCUUGUAACCGUUUGUUAGCUUAAGCAAUCAUAUAUCCUUAAGCAGACGGAGACGGUGAAUCGAUCAAUGCAAGGCAAUUAUUCCAUGUUUGAAUGCUCUUCGCUAUAAUUCUCGCUGGGCUUAGGUCUUUGAAUAGAGGAUUUUCGAGAGUCCUCUUUACUAAUGCUGAGUGGCAAACUUUUCCCAACCCAACAAGUUCGCCGCAACACUUGCUAGAAAUAGUCCCCUGUCUCGAAAAUACUCGUGAAAGCUUCUAGAACACAGGGCAAACCCAUUUUAGUUUCACAAUUAUUAUCCUUAAUAAUCUGGUCGUUCUCCUUCGUAGCCAUUGCUGCCCCGCAAGUUAAGAAUAAAACCACUAGUGCGGAAUAAACAUUAAGGCUUGCCAUACCGCUCGAAUCUGAUGUUACUAGUUAAAUUUGGUUCGUAAAAUUAAUUUCGAACAAGAUUUGCAAGGAAAAGAAAUGGCAUUUAUAGGAAGUGUUAUAACCACAUUGGACUACAAUACGUUACAGUAAAAUAAAACAUUCAAUAUUUUAGUUUAAUUAGAACAUUCAAUAUUUCAGUUUAAUUAGCACUAAUUUUAAUUACUACAAAUCUAAAUAUUAAUUCAAGGACGCACAUUAAUAUUUCCCUUCAUAAUUCUUAAAUGGCAUUAAACGGGUCACGAAAAUAAUGUUCAACAAAGAUGAUUAUGUUGUACAUGUGUUUCACCGUCGAAGCUGGGAUUGAACUAUUACGUCCAGUCCAAACCAAACACCUGGACGAUAAUAUGGAGGAAACAUCGUAUGGAAAAAGCAAUAUGGGAUUUAGUACACUUGCAUUACAGGCACACAUAUUCGUUAUGUGUGUCGUCCUAUUUUUCUAAUUUUUUGAAGUUGUGUACGCACUUGUUAUUUUAAUGGUAAAAAAUUCACGUGUAUCUCAAAAGUGAAUGAGCUAUACCAGAUUCCUCUGCCAGUGAUAUGGAUGUGGCACAAUGUAGAAAUAAUUAUGCGAAGCGCAAAAUCUUAUAACUUUGUUGUUGUUAAAAAGUUUUUAUCAAACCUAUCAUAUUUGUAAAAUGGAAAAUGGCAACUGGAUGAUUGAAAUUCAAAAUUAUUACAUCAAAAAUAUUUCUCGUUGUGAAAUUAAGUCGAUGUUUGUCUUCAUCGCGGGACUGCAUUUCAGUUUUUGUAGUCUUCGUUCUACGUUAACUUUUUAGGUGUGAGCGUUCCGACCCAAUGUUACUGGAAUAUGAAUUGAAUCUUCUAGUUGGAUAAGUAAUGGAACUUGGAAAAUGAAAAAUUCUCUUAGUGAGUUAAAUUGGAAACAACAAAUGAUGUUACAUUUCCAUAACUGUCGUAGGUAUUGCCCAAAUAAUGGAUAGGAUUUUGUUUUUAUAUAAAUUGAACCUUUUUUAAUAGGGAGAAUGUGGGACGUACGUUGCCGACAUAUUUCGAAUUUCAUUAUCGAUCAUGAUAAAAAAAGUAAUCUAAAGGAAGAAGAAUAAGGAAAUGAAGUUCAGACUUUGAAGCGUUCCAUCACUUUCGACGAGGAUUUCAAGAUUGCCUCUCCUCUUCGGAAAAGAAAGAGGUCGUAACUGUUAGAUAAGUAUCGAAGGAGUGAAAAUGGAAAAUGAAACAAAGGUGUCCAUAGGCAAUGAACUAUUGCAAAUUAUAGUGCAUGUCCCUUGGAGGAUAUUUCCUUGCACGAUAUGUGUCUUUUCACAACUUCGAGAAGUCAAGGUUCUUUUCCCUUAAAGCCAAUGUGAAUUUAAAUUGUAUAAAGACUUUCAAGGAAUUGAGAUUGUUUUCAUUCCACACCACGCUAGAACAUUCCAAUUCCACAUUAUUGGAAUGAACUUAAUGUUUAUAAUAAUGAUAUUUGUGCAAUUUAAACACUGUGAAACAGUAUAUAGUGCUCAAUUAGAGAUGGUUACCGAGUUCUAAAUGCUAUAAAGUUAAAAGCAUUGGCAAAUAUAAAAUUAUAGUGUAUUAAUAAAUGGCUCCUCUAGAACCAUUUAAUUUUCUUAGAACUAAAUAUAAUUUAACUAGGCUUAAAUUUAAUGACACAUUUUAAUGAAGCUUUCGGAACAAUAUCAAAAAUAAAGCCAAAAGAACAAUUUUGGGCCCGUUACGUCUUGUAACCGUUUGUUAGCUUAAGCAAUCAUAUAUCCUUAAGCAGACGGAGACGGUGAAUCGAUCAAUGCAAGGCAAUUAUUCCAUGUUUGAAUGCUCUUCGCUAUAAUUCUCGCUGGGCUUAGGUCUUUGAAUAGAGGAUUUUCGAGAGUCCUCUUUACUAAUGCUGAGUGGCAAACUUUUCCCAACCCAACAAGUUCGCCGCAACACUUGCUAGAAAUAGUCCCUGUCUCGAAAAUACUCGUGAAAGCUUCUAGAACACAGGGCAAACCCAUUUUAGUUUCACAAUUAUUAUCCUUAAUAAUCUGGUCGUUCUCCUUCGUAGCCAUUGCUGCCCGCGCAAGUGAAGAAUAAAACCACUAGUGCGGAAUAAACAUUAAGGCUUGCCAUACCGCUCGAAUCUGAUGUUACUAGUUAAAUUUGGUUCGUAAGAUUAUUUCGAACAAGAUUUGCAAGGAAAAGAAAUGGCAUUUAUAGGAAGUGUUAUAACCACAUUGGACUACAAUACGUUACAGUAAAAGAAAACAUUCAAUAUUUUAGUUUAAUUAGAACAUUCAAUAUUUCAGUUUAAUUAGCAUUAAUUUUAAUUACUACAAAUCUAAAUAUUAAUUCAAGGACGCACAUUAAUAGUUCCCUUCAUAAUUCUUAAAUGGCAUUAAACGGGUCACGAAAAUAAUGUUCAACAAAGAUGAUUAUGUUGUACAUGUGUUUCACCGUCGAAACUGGGAUUGAACUAUUACGUCCAGUCCAAACCAAACACCUGGACGAUAAUAUGGAGGAAACAUCGUAUGGAAAAAGCAAUAUGGGAUUUAGUACACUUGCAUUAGAGGCACACAUAUUCGUUAUGUGUGUCGUCCUAUUUUUCUAAUUUUUUGAAGUUGUGUACGCACUUGUUAUUUUGAUGGUAAAAAAUUCACGUGUAUCUCAAAAGUGAAUGAGCUAUACCAGAUUCCUCUGCCAGUGAUAUGGAUGUGGCACAAUGUAGAAAUAAUUAUGCGAAGCGCAAAAUCUUAUAACUUUGUUGUUGUUAAAAAGUUUUUAUCAAACUUAUCAUAUUUGUAAAAUGGAAAAUGGCAACUGAAUGAUUGAAAUUCAGAAUUAUUACAUCAAAAAUAUUUCUCGUUCUGAAAUUAAGUCGAUGUUUGUCUUCAUCGCGGGACUGCAUUUCAGUUUUUGUAGUCUUCGUUCUACGUUAACUUUUUAGGUGUGAGCGUUCCGACCCAAUGUUACUGGAAUAUGAAUUGAAUCUUCUAGUUGGAUAAGUAAUGGAACUUGGAAAAUGAAAAAUUCUCUUAGUGAGUUAAAUUGGAAACAACAAAUGAUGUUACAUUUCCAUAACUGUCGUAGGUAUUUCCCAAAUAAUGGAUAGGAUUUUGUUUUUAUAUAAAUUGAACCUUUUUUAAUAGGGAGAAUGUGGGACGUACGUCGCCGACAUAUUUGGAGUUUCAUUAUCGAUCAUGAUAAAAAAAGUAAUCUAAAGGAAGAAGAAUAAGGAAAUGAAGUUCAGACUUUGAAGCGUUCCAUCACUUUCGACGAGGAUUUCAAGAUUGCCUCUCCUCUUCGGAAAAGAAAGAGGUCGUAACUGUUAGAUAAGUAUCGAAGGAGUGAAAAUGGAAAAUGAAACAAAGGUGUCCAUAGGCAAUGAACUAUUGCAAAUUAUAGUGCAUGUCCCUUGGAGGAUAUUUCCUUGCACGAUAUGUGUCUUUUCACAACUUCGAGAAGUCAAGGUUCUUUUCCCUUAAAGCCAAUGUGAAUUUAAAUUGUAUAAAGACUUUCAAGGAAUUGAGAUUGUUUCCAUUCCACACCACGCUAGAACAUUCCAAUUCCACAUUAUUGGAAUGAACUUAAUGUUUAUAAUAAUUAUAUUUGUGCAAUUUAAACACUGUGAAACAGUAUAUAGUGCUCGAUUUGAGAUGGUUACCGAGUUCUAAUGCUAUAAAGUUAAAAGCAUUGGCAAAUAUAAAAUUAUAGUGUAUUAAUAAAUGGCUCCUCUAGAACCAUUUAAUUUUCUUAGAACUAAAUAUAAUUUAACUAGGCUUAAAUUUAAUGACACAUUUUAAUGAAGCUUUCGGAACAAUAUCAAAAAUAAAGCCAAAAGAACAAUUUUGGGCCCGUUACGUCUUGUAACCGUUUGUUAGCUUAAGCAAUCAUAUAUCCUUAAGCAGACGGAGACGGUGAAUCGAUCAAUGCAAGGCAAUUAUUCCAUGUUUGAAUGCUCUUCGCUAUAAUUCUCGCUGGGCUUAGGUCUUUGAAUAGAGGAUUUUCGAGAGUCCUCUUUACUAAUGUUGUGUGGCAAACUUUUCCAACCCAACAAGUUCGCCGCAACACUUGCUAGAAAUAGUCCCUGUCUUGAAAAUACUCGUGAAAGCUUCUAGAACACAGGGCAAACCCAUUUUAGUUUCACAAUUAUUAUCCUUAAUAAUCUGGUCGUUCUCCUUCGUAGCCAUUGCUGCCGCGCGAGUGAAGAAUAAAACCACUAGUGCGGAAUAAACAUUAAGGCUUGCCAUACCGCUCGAAUCUGAUGUUACUAGUUAAAUUUGGUUCGUAAGAAUAAUUUUCGAACAAGAUUUGCAAGGAAAAGAAAUGGCAUUUAUAGGAAGUGUUAUAACCACAUUGGACUACAAUACGUUACAGUAAAAGAAAACAUUCAAUAUUUUAGUUUAAUUAGAACAUUCAAUAUUUCAGUUUAAUUAGCAUUAAUUUUAAUUACUACAAAUCUAAAUAUUAAUUCAAGGACGCAGCAUUAAUAUUUCCCUUCAUAAUUCUUAAAUGGCAUUAAACUGGUCACGAAAAUAAUGUUCAACAAAUAUGAUUAUGUUGUACAUGUGUUUCACCGUCGAAACUGGGAUUGAACUAUUACGUCCAGUCCAAACCAAACACCUGGACGAUAAUAUGGAGGAAACAUCGUAUGGAAAAAGCAAUAUGGGAUUUAGUACACUUGCAUUAGAGGCACACAUAUUCGUUAUGUGUGUCGUCCUAUUUUUCUAAUUUUUUGAAGUUGUGUACGCACUUGUUAUUUUGAUGGUAAAAAAUUCACGUGUAUCUCAAAAGUGAAUGAGCUAUACCAAAUUCGUCUGCCAGUGAUAUGGAUGUGGCACAAUGUAGAAAUAAUUAUGCGAAGCGCAAAAUCUUAUAACUUUGUUGUUGUUAAAAAGUGUUUAUCAAACUUAUCAUAUUUGUUAAAAGGGAAAAUGGCAACUGAAUGAUUAAAAUUCAGAAUUAUUGCAUCAAAAAUAUUUCUUUUUCUGAAAUUAAGUCGAUGUUUGUCUUCAUCCCGGGACUGCAUUUCAGUUUUUGUAGUCUUCGUUCUACGUUAACUCUUUAGGUGUGAGCAUUCCGACCCAAUGUUACUGGAAUAUGAAUUGAAUCUUCUAGUUGGAUAAGUAAUGGAACUUGGAAAAUGAAAAAUUCUUUUAGUGAGUUAAAUUGGAAACAACAAAUGAUGUUACAUUUCCAUAACUGUCGUAGGUAUUGCCCAAAUAAUGGAUAGGAUUUUGUGUUUAUAUAAAUUGAACCUUUUUUAAUAGGGAGAAUGUGGGACGUACGUCGCCGACAUAUUUGGAGUUUCAUUAUCCAUCAUGAUAAAAAAAAGUAAUCUAAAGGAAGAAGAAUAAGGAAAUGAAGUUCAGACUUUGAAGCGUUCCAUCACUUUCGACGAGGAUUUCAAGAUUGCCUCUCCUCUUCGGAAAAGAAAUAUGUCAUAACUGUUAGAUAAGUAUCGAAGGAGUGAAAAUGGAAAAUGAAACAAAGGUGUCCAUAGGCAAUGAACUAUUGCAAAUUAUAGUGCAUGUCCCUUGGAGGAUAUUUCCUUGCACGAUAUGUGUCUUUUCACAACUUCGAGAAGUCAAGGUUCUUUUCCCUUAAAGCCAAUGUGAAUUUAAAUUGUAUAAAGACCUUCAAGGAAUUGAGAUUGUUUCCAUUCCACACCACGCUAGAACAUUCCAAUUCCACAUUAUUGGAAUGAACUUAAUGUUUAUAAUAAUUAUAUUUGAGCAAUUUAAACACUGUGAAACAGUAUAUAGUGCUCGAUUUGAGAUGGUUACCGAGUUCUAAUGCUAAAAGUUAAAAGCAUCGGCAAAUAUAAAAUUAUAGUGUAUUAAUAAAUGGCUCCUCUAGAACCAUUUAAUUUUCUUAGGACUAAAUAUAAUUUAACUAGGCUUAAAUUUAAUGACACAUUUUAAUGAAGCUUUCGGAACAAUAUCAAAAAUAAAGCCAAAAGAACAAUUUUGGGCCCGUUACGUCUUGUAACCGUUUGUUAGCUUAAGCAAUCAUAUAUCCUUAAGCAGACGGAGACGGUGAAUCGAUCAAUGCAAGGCAAAUAUUCCAUGUUUGAAUGCUCUUCACUAUAAUUCUCGCUGGGCUUAGGUCUUUGAAUAGAGGAUUUUCGAGAGUCCUCUUUACUAAUGUUGUGUGGCAAACUUUUCCAAACCCAACAAGUUCGCCGCAACACUUGCUAGAAAUAG
rnacentral:lncRNA from 1 species